AUGCGUUGUUGGGUAGGGGAGCGUUCUGUAAGCCUGCGAAGGUGUGCUGUGAGGCAUGCUGGAGGUAUCAGAAGUGCGAAUGCUGACAUAAGUAACGAUAAAGCGGGUGAAAAGCCCGCUCGCCGGAAGACCAAGGGUUCCUGUCCAACGUUAAUCGGGGCAGGGUGAGUCGACCCCUAAGGCGAGGCCGAAAGGCGUAGUCGAUGGGAAACAGGUUAAUAUUCCUGUACUUGGUGUUACUGCGAAGGGGGGACGGAGAAGGCUAUGUUGGCCGGGCGACGGUUGUCCCGGUUUAAGCGUGUAGGCUGGUUUUCCAGGCAAAUCCGGAAAAUCAAGGCUGAGGCGUGAUGACGAGGCACUACGGUGCUGAAGCAACAAAUGCCCUGCUUCCAGGAAAAGCCUCUAAGCAUCAGGUAACAUCAAAUCGUACCCCAAACCGACACAGGUGGUCAGGUAGAGAAUACCAAGGCGCUUGAGAGAACUCGGGUGAAGGAACUAGGCAAAAUGGUGCCGUAACUUCGGGAGAAGGCACGCUGAUAUGUAGGUGAAGUCCCUCGCGGAUGGAGCUGAAAUCAGUCGAAGAUACCAGCUGGCUGCAACUGUUUAUUAAAAACACAGCACUGUGCAAACACGAAAGUGGACGUAUACGGUGUGACGCCUGCCCGGUGCCGGA
rnacentral:rRNA from 1 species